rnacentral:piRNA from 1 species
UGUUCAAACAAGCUUUGCUUUGGUCGGGC